ACCUUCUUGUAUAAGCACUGUGCUAAAAUUGCAGAAACUAGGACCACACCUUGGGUUUUGUAGUAAUGCUACCAGAGUACACACAAGUGAUGGCAUUAGACUGUAAAGACUGGCAUGGACCUCUCUGUUCAUUUUCCAUGUUCUUGGUCUUAAGACUUGGUAUAACAGGU